rnacentral:rRNA from 1 species
UUGGUAGGAGAGCGUUCUUUAAGCCGUUGAAGGUUUACCGUAAGGUGGGCUGGAGGUAUAAGAAGUGAGGAUGCAGGCAUGAGUAACGAGAAAACGGGUGAGAAACCCGUUCGCCGCAAACCCAAGGUUUCCUAGGUAAAGCUAAUCUGCCUAGGGUUAGUCGACCCCUAAGAUGAGGCUGAAAAGCGUAGUCGAUGGGAAACAGGUAAAUAUUCCUGUACUAUGAUAUGUUUCGAUGGAAUGACACAGAUUGUUUGCGUACGCGUUAGAUUGGUAGAUAACGUCAAACAGUUUAGACUUGUGAUGAGUAAAAUGCUUGUUGCUUUAAGGUUGAGGCUGGAUAGUGACUGGGCUUUCGGGUUCAGGAAGUUGCGUGAGCUAGGCUGUCGAGAAAUAAUUUCUAAGGUUAGGCAUGUCAUAAUCGUACCACAAACCGACACAGGUGGGUGAGAUGAGUAUUCUAAGGCGCUCGAGAUAAUCUUCCCUAAGGAACUCUGCAAAUUAGUCUUGUAACUUCGGAAAAAGAGACGCUUGAAUCUUGGUAGCAAUAUUGAGAGGAGAGUCGCAGUGAAAAGGCCUGGCCGACUGUUUAACAAAAACACAGAUCUCUGCAAACAUGUAAAUGGAUGUAUAGGGAUUGACACCUGCCCAGUGCUGGAAGGUUAAAAGGAGAGGUUAGCGUAAGCGAAGCUUCGAAUUGAAGCCCCAGUAAACGGCGGCCGUAACUAUGACGGUCCUAAGGUAGCGAAAUUCCUUGUCGGGUAAGUUCCGACCUGCACGAAUGGUGUAACGAUCCGGGCACUGUCUCGGGGAAGAACUCGGUGAAAUUGAAUUAUCAGUGAAGAUGCUGAUUACCCGCAACAGGACGGUAAGACCCCGUGAACCUUUACUAUAACUUGACAUUGAGUUUUGUUUUGUGAUGUGUAGAAUAGAUGGGAGGCUUUGAAGUGGGAGCGCCAGCUUUCAUGGAGCCAUCGUUGAAAUACCAUCCUUCGCAAAAUGGGAUUCUAACGAUUAGCCGUUAUCCGGCAGUCGGACAUUGUCAGGCGGGUAGUUUGACUGGGGCGGUCGCCUCCUAAAGAGUAACGGAGGCGUGCAAAGGUCACCUCAAACCGAAUAGAAAUCGGUAGUAGAGUAUAAAGGCAUAAGGUGGCUUGACUGCGAGAGAGACAUCUCGAGCAGGUACGAAAGUAGGUCUUAGUGAUCCGGUGGUCCCGAGUGGAAGGGCCAUCGCUAAACGGACAAAAGGUACUCCGGGGAUAACAGGCUUAUCUCCCCCAAGAGUUCAUAUCGACGGGGAGGUUUGGCACCUCGAUGUCGGCUCGUCGCAUCCUGGGGCUGUAUUCGGUCCCAAGGGUUUGGCUGUUCGCCAAUUAAAGCGGUACGCGAGCUGGGUUCAGAACGUCGUGAGACAGUUUGGUCCCUAUCCGUUGUGGGCGUUGGAAAGUUGAGAAGAGUCAUUCUUAGUACGAGA